rnacentral:rRNA from 1 species
AGAGUUUGAUCCUGGCUCAGGACGAACGCUGGCGGCGUGCUUAAUACAUGCAAGUCGAACGAGACGUAAGUCGAGUGGCGAACGGGUGAGUAACACGUAAGGAACCUGCCCCGAAGACCGGGAUAACAGCGGGAAACUGCUGCUAAUACCGGAUACCCCCAUCAGGUCGCAUGGCCAGAUGAGGAAAUGGACUCCGCUUCGGGAGGGCCUCGCGUCCUAUCAGCUAGUUGGUGGGGUAACGGCCUACCAAGGCGUCGACGGGUAGCUGGUCUGAGAGGACGAUCAGCCACACUGGGACUGAGACACGGCCCAGACUCCUACGGGAGGCAGCAGUAGGGAAUCUUGCGCAAUGGGCGAAAGCCUGACGCAGCAACGCCGCGUGAGGGAUGGAGGCCUUCGGGUUGUAAACCUCUUUCAGCAGGGACGAUUGUGACGGUACCUGCAGAAGAAGCCCCGGCCAACUACGUGCCAGCAGCCGCGGUAAUACGUAGGGGGCGAGCGUUAUCCGGAUUUAUUGGGCGUAAAGAGCUCGUAGGCGGUUUGGUAAGUCGGGUGUGAAACCUCCAGGCUCAACCUGGAGAUGCCACUCGAUACUGCCAUGACUAGAGUCCGGUAGGGGUCCACGGAAUUCCUGGUGUAGCGGUGAAAUGCGCAGAUAUCAGGAGGAACACCGGUGGCGAAGGCGGUGGGCUGGGCCGGUACUGACGCUGAGGAGCGAAAGCGUGGGGAGCGAACAGGAUUAGAUACCCUGGUAGUCC